AGCUUUACACAGUGGUAGUAUCGUAACCAAUGAGAUUAAUCUGAGCCAUGAUUAUUGCUAAUUGGAAACUUCUUGAAACCUUGCCAUGAUGACUUGAAACAUAGUUGGCACUGGCAAUUUUUGACAAUCUAUGGAGA